rnacentral:lncRNA from 1 species
UGUCCCAAUUCCGUAACUUUACUAAGUCCGCAUUAUAUUAUUUUUUACAAAUUCAAUUAUGUACUCACAUGAGUAAAUGCUCGAAAAUUUUGUAUUUCAUUGUAUAUACUAGGAACCGCAUGUAUUAAAACAAUUACCACAUAUAAAUAUAUACACACAUAUACAUGUUUAUACGGAAACUGUGUUAUUUUUAUUUUUUUUUUUUUUUACAAAUACAUAGCUUAUAAUUAAAUUUAGUUUUAUUAUAUUAUAUGUUGCUUUAAUAUUUUAUGCAUUGCAUACUCCAUUGUACAUUGUAACACAUAUUAAUUUUUUUUUUUUUUUUAUUGCAUUUGAACUUUUUAAUAUAAAAAUACCAUUAAAAAACAAAAUCGCAUCAUUAUUGUAUUAAGUUUUUAAAAUAAAACUUCAUGGUUUUUAAUAACAAAUUAUUUAUGCUAAACAAGUAUGUAUAUAUUUACAUAUAUAUAUAUAAGGAACAAAUCUAAGAAAACAAACGGAUACUUAAAUAUAUAAAAAUAAUAAAAAAAAAAACAUUGUUUUUUUAUUUUUUUUUUUUUUUUUAUCCCUUUUUCUCUAAAUUAUCCCUCAAAAAAGAAAAUGGGUAAACUAAUUAUUUUAACUUUUAUUCAUGUUUUAAGUAGUGUGUUCCUUAUAAGUUUAUAAAUAUACAUAGAAAGAAACAUACAUGUAUAACGCGUAUAUAAAUAUUAUGUAAAUUACUUGUACAAAGUACAUGCAUAUAUAAGGCAAUUCAUUUACACCAUCAAAAAUUUAUACGCUUCUUUUUUUUUUUUUUCUUUUUUUUUUUUUUUUUUUCAAAUGCAAUAAAAUAGAUCUAAAAUUAGUAAAAGUAAAAAAGCCUAUUGAUGAAGGUAAGCUUGCAAUUACUCGGUUUUACUCACAUUAGUAUGACAAGAAAAGAGCAGCAUACAAAUAUGUAUAAAUAUAUAUUAAAAGAAAAAUAAGAACAUCAUCAUUUUUGUUUACAACUGUGUAUUUUAUUUUUUUUUUUCUUAACAUUUAAAGACACAACCUUGCCACCAGCAUUAUUAGACAACGAACAGACAAAAGAAAAAAAAACAUUGAAAAAAAAGUCCAAAUACAGAACUCGAAUUAAAUGGACCAGGCAAGAGGUUGAGUUUCUCAUUGAUGGAAUAAAUAAAUAUGGUUUAUCUAAUUGGGCUAAAAUUUUAAAUGCGUAUGAUUUCCCAAAGUAUAGGUUAAAAAAAAAGUUAUAAAAGUUAGUUACAAAAGUUAGUUACAAAGCAGUGCAUAUUCUACCUCACUGUGUGUGUUUUUUUUUUUCUUUUUUCUUUACACUUUAAUUACAGAACCAACGUAAAUUUAAAAGACAAAUACAGAAAUUUUAAAAAGGU